GGGCCUGUAGCUCAGUUGGUAGAGCGCCACGUUUACACCGUGGAUGUCGUCGGUUCGAGCCCGGCCGGGCCCACC
rnacentral:tRNA from 1 species